AGAGCGUACGGUGGAUGCCUUGGCACCAGGAGCCGAUGAAGGACGUAGGAGGCUGCGAUAAGCCUCGGGGAGCUGUCAACCGAGCUGUGAUCCGAGGAUGUCCGAAUGGGGAAACCCAGCACGAGUGAUGUCGUGUUACCCGCGCCUGAAUAUAUAGGGCGUGUGGAGGGAACGUGGGGAAGUGAAACAUCUCAGUACCCACAGGAAGAGAAAACAACCGUGAUUCCGUGAGUAGUGGCGAGCGAAAGCGGAAGAGGCUAAACCAUGGGUGUGUGAUAGCCGGCAGGUGUUGCAUUCGUGGGGUUGUGGGGUUCAUUUUGUCUGUUCUGCCGAGCAGGCCAACAGUAAGAAAUCACAGGGUUAGUGGAAGUGGUCUGGAACGGCCUGUCGUAGAGGGUGAGAAUCCCGUACACGAAAACUUUGUGACUGUUGUAAUGGAAACCCAAGUAGCACCGGGCCCGUGAAAUCUGGUGUGAAUCUGUCGGGACCACCCGAUAAGCCUGAAUACUCCCUGGUGACCGAUAGCGGACUAGUACCGUGAGGGAAAGGUGAAAAGUACCCCGGGAGGGGAGUGAAAUAGUACCUGAAACCGUGCGCUUACAAUCCGUCAGAGCCUUCGAGCAGUUUACUGCUGGGGGUGAUGGCGUGCCUUUUGAAGAAUGAGCCUGCGAGUUAGUGGCAUGUCGCGAGGUUAACCCGUGUGGGGUAGCCGUAGCGAAAGCGAGUCCGAAUAGGGCGAGUCAGUGGCAUGCUCUAGACCCGAAGCGGAGUGAUCUACCCAUGGCCAGGUUGAAGCGACGGUAAGACGUCGUGGAGGACCGAACCCACUUAGGUUGAAAACUGAGGGGAUGAGUUGUGGGUAGGGGUGAAAGGCCAAUCAAACUCCGUGAUAGCUGGUUCUCCCCGAAAUGCAUUUAGGUGCAGCGUCGCGUGUUUCUCACCGGAGGUAGAGCUACUGGAUGGUCUAGGGGGCCCACAAGCUUACCGAAAUCAGCCAAACUCCGAAUGCCGGUGAGUGAGAGCGCGGCAGUGAGACUGCGGGCGAUAAGGUUCGUAGUCGAGAGGGAAACAGCCCAGAUCGCCAGCUAAGGUCCCUAAGCGUGUACUAAGUGGAAAAGGAUGUGGGGUCGCGAAGACAACCAGGAGGUUGGCUUAGAAGCAGCCACCCUUGAAAGAGUGCGUAAUAGCUCACUGGUCAAGUGAUCCUGCGCCGACAAUGUAGCGGGGCUCAAGUACACCACCGAAGCUGCGGCAUUCACGCAAUAGCCCCCCUUCACUCUGCGGAGUGUUGGGCAGGUGUGUGGAUGGGUAGGGGAGCGUCGUGUGGCCAUGGAAGCGGCAGGGUGACCUAGCCGUGGAGGCCACACGAGUGAGAAUGCAGGCAUGAGUAGCGAAAGACGAGUGAGAAACUCGUCCGCCGAAUGACCAAGGGUUCCUGGGCCAGGUUAAUCCGCCCAGGGUGAGUCGGGACCUAAGACGAGGCCGACAGGCGUAGCCGAUGGACAACGGGUUGAUAUUCCCGUACCCGUGUGAACGCGCCCAUGGUGAAUCAGUGAUACUAACCAUCCUGAAGCCACGAGAAGACCUUCGGGUCUCGAGUUGGUGGAUGCAUGGGACCUGAUCUGGUAGUAGCCAAGCGAUGGGGUGACGCAGGAAGGUAGCUGAGCCAGUCAGUGGUAAUACUGGUGUAAGCGUGUAGGGCGUGACCUAGGCAAAUCCGGGUCGCACAUAGCCUGAGACGUGAUGCGUAGCCGAUUGAGGCGAAUUCAGUGAUCCUAUGCUGCCGAGAAAAGCCUCUAGCGAGCUUUCACACGGCCCGUACCCCAAACCGACACAGGUGGUCAGGUAGAGAAUACUAAGGCGAUCGAGAUAACUAUGGUUAAGGAACUCGGCAAAAUGCCCCCGUAACUUCGGGAGAAGGGGGGCCCUGUCUGGUGACGACAUUUACUGUCUGAGCUGGGUGGGGCCGCAGAGACCAGUGAGAAGCGACUGUUUACUAAAAACACAGGUCCGUGCGAAGUCGUAAGACGAUGUAUACGGACUGACGCCUGCCCGGUGCUGGAAGGUUAAGAGGACCGGUUAGUUCUUCGGAGCGAAGCUGAGAAUUUAAGCCCCAGUAAACGGCGGUGGUAACUAUAACCAUCCUAAGGUAGCGAAAUUCCUUGUCGGGUAAGUUCCGACCUGCACGAAUGGCGUAACGACUUCUCAGCUGUCUCAACCGUAGACUCGGCGAAAUUGCAUUACGAGUAAAGAUGCUCGUUACGCGCGGCAGGACGAAAAGACCCCGGGACCUUCACUACAGCUUGGUAUUGGUGUUCGGUUCGGUUUGUGUAGGAUAGGUGGGAGACUGUGAAACGGUGACGCCAGUUAUCGUGGAGUCGUUGUUGAAAUACCACUCUGAUCGAAUUGGACCUCUAACCUCGGACCAUGAUCUGGUUCAGGGACAGUGCCUGGUGGGUAGUUUAACUGGGGCGGUUGCCUCCCAAAAUGUAACGGAGGCGCCCAAAGGUUCCCUCAGCCUGGUUGGCAAUCAGGUGUCGAGUGCAAGUGCACAAGGGAGCUUGACUGUGAGACUGACAGGUCGAGCAGGGACGAAAGUCGGGACUAGUGAUCCGGCACCGGCAAGUGGAAGCGGUGUCGCUCAACGGAUAAAAGGUACCCCGGGGAUAACAGGCUGAUCUUCCCCAAGAGUCCAUAUCGACGGGAUGGUUUGGCACCUCGAUGUCGGCUCGUCGCAUCCUGGGGCUGGAGUAGGUCCCAAGGGUUGGGCUGUUCGCCCAUUAAAGCGGCACGCGAGCUGGGUUUAGAACGUCGUGAGACAGUUCGGUCUCUAUCCGCCGCGCGCGUUAGAAACUUGAGGAAGGCUGUCCCUAGUACGAGAGGACCGGGACGGACGAACCUCUGGUGUGCCAGUUGUUCCGCCAGGAGCACCGCUGGUUAGCUACGUUCGGAAGGGAUAACCGCUGAAAGCAUCUAAGCGGGAAGCCUGUUCCAAGAUGAGGUUUCU
rnacentral:rRNA from 1 species